rnacentral:rRNA from 1 species
AUUGAACGCUGGCGGCACGCCUAACACAUGCAAGUCGAGCGGUAGCAUGGGUAGUAGCAAUACUACCUGAUGACGAGCGGCGGACGGGUGAGGAACACGUGGGAAUCUACCCUCAAGCGGGGGACAACUAAGGGAAACUUUAGCUAAUACCGCAUAAUCUCGAAAGAGUAAAGUUAGCCGUAAGGUGGACACUUGAGGAGGAGCCUUCGUCCGAUUAGCUAGUUGGUAGGGUAAAGCCUACCAAGGCGAUGAUCGGUAACUGGUCUGAGAGGACGACCAGUCACACUGGGACUGAGACACGGCCCAGACUCCUACGGGAGGC